rnacentral:rRNA from 1 species
AGCGAACGCUGGCGGCAGGCCUAACACAUGCAAGUCGAACGAACCCUUCGGGGUUAGUGGCGGACGGGUGAGUAACACGUGGGAACGUGCCUUUAGGUUCGGAAUAACUCAGGGAAACUUGUGCUAAUACCGAAUGUGCCCUUCGGGGGAAAGAUUUAUCGCCUUUAGAGCGGCCCGCGUCUGAUUAGCUAGUUGGUGAGGUAAUGGCUCACCAAGGCUACGAUCAGUAGCUGUUCUGAGAGGAUGACCAGCCACAUUGGGACUGAGACACGGCCUAAACUCCUACGGGAGGCAGCAGUGGGGAAUCUUGCGCAAUGGGCGAAAGCCUGACGCAGCCAUGCCGCGUGGAUGAUGAAGGUCUUAGGAUUGUAAAAUCCUUUCACCGGUGAAGAUAAUGACUGUAGCCGGAGAAGAAGCCCCGGCUAACUUCGUGCCAGCCGCCGCAGUAACAC